UUACGGUCACAUCAAAUUGAAACACUGGUUCCUGUAUGAUCACUGAAGUUAAGCUACGUCAAUCUUGGUUAAUACCUAGAUGGGUGACCACUUGUGAAUACCAGGAGCAGUAA